GGUGUAUUAGGUAUUUUUUAAAAAUAAUAGUUGAAAAAUGUAUAUGUACUUACCAAGUUGUAUAUGAAUUAUACAAUAAAAAAUCAAUAUGAGAAACAAUAUGAGGUUAUGUUUAAAUUAAAAUUAUUUAUUAGUAGAUUAAAUUACUUAUAAAUAGUUGAUUCUCCGUAUUAAUAAAUAUUACUGGCACACAAAUGUUAAUGAUAUGAAUAUUAAAUCACACAUUGAUAUUUUAUCAAAAAUAUUUUAUUAAAAAAAAAUUAUAAAUAUAA